UACAGAGGGUGCAAGCGUUAAUCGGAAUUACUGGGCGUAAAGCGUGCGUAGACGGUUAUGUAAGUCGGGUGUGAAAGCCCCGGGCUCAACCCUGGGAAUUGCAUUCGAGACUGCAUAGCUAGGGUGCGGAAGAGGGAAGCGGAAUUUCCGGUGUAGCGGUGAAAUGCGUAGAUAUCGUGAGGAACACCAGAGGCGAAGGCGGUUACCUGGACAGUUACUGACGCUCAGGCACGAAAGCAUGGGGAGCAAAAGGG
rnacentral:rRNA from 1 species